CUUCAGCUAUUGCUGGCAAAGGUGAAAACAAAAUGAAUCAUACACCAUGUUAUCUUAUUGUUCACCAGCUAGCUACUGAGACAGCCCGGACACACGCUGGAGGAGAACUCAUUUAUGUGAUCUAAAGGGAAAAAAAGAAAAAAGAAUGUCAGUCAUAAAGUCUAUCGUAUUCUGUGGAAUACAUUAUGAAAAUGGUUCAGUUCCUGUAAGGAAGAACCCUGAAAACAAAUAAACUAGCUGCUAAGGAGUGUGCCUGGCAG